CCCCGGCCCCUCCUCCGCCAGCCGCGUUCUCCCGGGCUUGGUGAGGAACUGUUCCUGGAGGAGCCGCGGGACGGCAAAACCAUCCAAUGGGAAGAGGCGAUUCGCGGAGAUUGGCACUGAAGAUGGGAAGCGAUGAUAAGGAAACUAAACUGGAUUAAGUGCUAUCAUCUUGAAGGUGCAAAGGCAAACAAGGAGAAAGAAGUGAUUGAAGAGCACUUCAGAAAGCCUGGUACAUUCAAAUCAGCAGGGCUUGAUUACUCGCAUCCCAGGACACUUAAGGAAUUGGCAAAUAUAAUUGCAAGACCACCAGCCUUUAUUUUAGAAAAUGAAGGUUGGACAGAAGAAGGUCCUGACAAGUAGAAUCAGCAGAUGGAGUACCUGUUUUUUAAAACAGGGAAAAGGACAGCUGUAGUAAUUAUAGACUAUUCAGCUUAUCUUGGAUACCUGGGAAGAUACAAGAGCAAAUCAUCAAACAAUCAAUUUGCAACCACCUAGAAGAGCACAAGGUACUGGGUCGUAAUCAACAUGAUUUUGUGAAGUGCAAAUUAUGCCACACCAAUUUAAUUUUAUCUAUGGUAGAGUGAUGAGCCUGGCAGAAGAGGGCAAAGAAAUAUCUACAACCGGACUUCAAUAAGGUUUUCUGUUUUUAUUUAAAAUAUUCCAUUUCCUGGCAUUUUCAGCAUCAACCUUCUGAGAGGAUGCUAUCUGAACAGCAGUUGGGAAUAUUGAUCUCAGCGUUACUUUGACCAUUAAUGAAUUAUGAUGGCAAUAAGCAAAGAUGCGCGCCUCUAGCCUCCAGGGAGCUUAAUCUUCUGCUACAACGUUUGCAUUUGCAGUGUUUAAGAAGGAUCCAGAAAUACUUCAAGCGAUGCCAGUGGUAGUGUUGCCUCCUCAGAAGACUGCUUUCAGGGGAACAGUAUACCUCUGCCCUGUAAAUUCUGGAUGGUAUGAAAACUGAGGUGCAGAAAGAAAUUACUAUUGAAAGUCACAAACUGUUGCAGCAGCCUAGGAGGAAGGCAGCAGAGAAGGAUGAGCCUGUGACCCGACUGAGCUGCAGGCAGAAGAAUCUUCUUUGUACUGCUCGAGGUCAAGAAUGUGUUUACACCCUGGCCUAAUGGUCUGAACUUUUGCAUCUGAGUGCAGGACUUCAGGACCACUGAAGGCCACCACGCGGUGGAAUGAAGCUCCCUAGCAGAAGCACCUGGAUUAAACGUGCAACCAGACCAGUCCACACCAGCCCCCCAAGUCACUGAACUCAAUGACAUCAUGCCCAGGCAGGGAAAGUCAACAGGCCUCUGGCCCGGGUCCCCUCCACUCCUCUCAUUUCUUCUGCCUCUCGCUGUUCUUAACCCAGGGACAAUAUUUAGAAAGCAGAGCGGGUUCAGGCAGCCCUCUCAAUUACUUUGGCUGGAACCUUCCUGAGUACAUUUUGCUAUCUCUUUGUGAUGUAAACAGGGGCAUUCACAGUUGGCAGGGGAUGCUCUUUCUGUUUUAAUUACACACGGCAUAAUUAUAGUCCCAGGGUCUGGAAACAGCACAAAGUUCUUUGGAGAACUUCAUAGGGAUUUUUCUGUUAUGACAUAGUUUAUCAGGAGAAAAAAAAGUAAGGCAAAAGACAUUUCCAAAGAGGAACUAAUAACACUAUUUAUGCUAGCGUUCCAUUCCAUAAUAAGUAGAUCACAAAAUCGGAGUAGACAUUUUUUUCUGGAGGCGGGGGUGGAGUUUCAAAAUUUUGGACUCACGGACAGUGGUGGCAAAAUCUAGAUAAAUACUAAUGCAUGGAUGUGGGUGGAGAAGGAUAUACAUGUAAAUUUUUUUUACUUAGGAAAGCAAUAAGAAGGCAUCCAGCUGUAUCUGAGGGAAUUUGCACGUACCCGGGACCCUGAGGAUAUGGAAAAAGAUCCUACCAUAGUCAUAGUCAUCUGGCCUAAACCUGAGUCAUAAAAUUCUCUCUGCCCCCAGAUGUGCAGUAUGAGGGCACUUUGUUACUCUGCUGAUGUAGUGAGAAAUCGCAGAACUGCCACGGUAAUGGAGAGUACAGUGACAGAGAUGGGGAGACAGGGCUGUUUCUCUGUUAUGAAACAUGCUUUUAUAGGUAAUUCUGAUGUACAGUAGGUAUUAAAUAGAGCAACGAAAAGAUUUUUUAUUUUAGAUUAGUGCUAGAGUGAUAUUUCCCCCAUGGCACUAAUAAUCCAGCUGCUUUCUAAAGCCUAUUUGCUCUCCCAGUUUCUCAUAGACUCCCAGCACUGUUUUGGCAGAAGGGUAAGCCAUUGCUUUGAAAUUUCUGCCUUUUAAAAGGAGAAGAUCAACUUUAUAUAUUAUGCAUUUUAUAUUUAGACAAGAGGGACAUGGUGCAUUUUUUUUUUUUCUGUUGGGGAAGAAGAUAUUAAAUAAGUUCUGUUUUUGCAAUGUAGAGAUAGGAAUAUAUAUAGGGGGUAAAAAUAUUUCAAGAAUGGCUUUUUGUAAUUGAGUGGUUUUU